rnacentral:rRNA from 1 species
GAUGAACGCUGGCGGCGUGCCUAAUACAUGCAAGUCGAGCGAACAGACGAGGAGCUUGCUCCUCUGACGUUAGCGGCGGACGGGUGAGUAACACGUGGAUAACCUACCUAUAAGACUGGGAUAACUUCGGGAAACCGGAGCUAAUACCGGAUAAUAUAUUGAACCGCAUGGUUCAAUAGUGAAAGACGGUUUUGCUGUCACUUAUAGAUGGAUCCGCGCCGCAUUAGCUAGUUGGUAAGGUAACGGCUUACCAAGGCAACGAUGCGUAGCCGACCUGAGGGUGAUCGGCCACACUGGAACUGAGACACGGUCCAGACUCCUACGGGAGGCAGCAGUAGGGAAUCUUCCGCAAUGGGCGAAAGCUUGACGGAGCAACGCCGCGUGAGUGAUGAAGGUCUUCGGAUCGUAAAACUCUGUUAUUAGGGAAGAACAAUUGUGUAAGUAACUAUGCACGUCUUGACGGUACCUAAUCAGAAAGCCACGGCUAACUACGUG